rnacentral:rRNA from 1 species
CCCUUAGAUGUUCUGGGCCGCACGCGCGCUACACUGAUGCGUUCAACAAGUAUACAACCUUCAUCGAUAGAUGUGGGUAAUCUUUUGAAUGCGCAUCGUGAUUGGGAUAGAUGAUUGCAAUUUUUCAUCUUCAACGAGGAAUACCUAGUAAACGCAAGUCAUCAACUUGCAUUGAUUACGUCCCUGCCCUUUGUACACACCGCCCGUCGCUACUACCGAUUGGAUGGUUUAGUGAGAUCCUCGGAUUGGUCACGGCACGGUGGCAACACUGCGUCGGUGUGCCGAGAAGACGAUCAAACUUGAUCAUCUAGAGGAAGUAAAAGUCGUAACA